rnacentral:rRNA from 1 species
CCUACGGGCGGCUGCAGUGGGGAAUAUUGGACAAUGGGCGAAAGCCUGAUCCAGCCAUGCCGCGUGUGUGAAGAAGGCCUUCGGGUUGUAAAGCACUUUCAGUGGGGAAGAAAGCCUUGGGGCUAAUACCCUCGAGGAAGGACAUCACCCACAGAAGAAGCACCGGCUAACUCCGUGCCAGCAGCCGCGGUAAUACGGAGGGUGCGAGCGUUAAUCGGAAUUACUGGGCGUGAAGCGCGCGUAGGCGGUCUGAUAAGCCGGUUGUGAAAGCCCCGGGCUCAACCUGGGAACGGCAUCCGGAACUGUCAGGCUAGAGUGCAGGAGAGGAAGGUAGAAUUCCCGGUGUAGCAGUGAAAUGCGUAGAGAUCGGGAGGAAUACCAGUGGCGAAGGCGGCCUUCUGGACUGACACUGACGCUGAGGUGCGAAAGCGUGGGUAGCAAACAGGAUUAGAUACCCCGGUAGUC